GGCAGAGCCCGGCAAUUGCAUAAAAUUUAAAACUUUACAACCAGAGGUUCAACUCCUCU
rnacentral:tRNA from 1 species